CCUACGGGAGGCAGCAGUGGGGAAUAUUGCACAAUGGGGGAAACCCUGAUGCAGCGAAGCCGCGUGAGUGAAGAAGUAUUUCGGUAUGUAAAGCCCUAUCAGCAGGGAAGAAAUAAAGUCCUUCGGACUUUGGACGGUACCUGACUAAGAAGCACCAGCUCACUACGUGCCAGCAGCCGCGGUAAUACGAAGGGGGCAAGCGUUAUCCGGAUUUACUGGGUGUAAAGGGAGCGUAGACGGCAGCGCAAGUCUGGAGGGAAAUCCCAUGGCUUAACCAUGGAACUGCUUUGGAAACUGUGCAGCUAGAGUGCGGGAGAGGUAAGCGGAAUUCCUGGUGUAGCGGUGAAAUGCGUAGAUAUUAGGAGGAACACCAGUGGCGAAGGCGGCUUACUGGACUGUAACUGACGUUGAGGCUCGAAAGCGUGGGGAGCAAACAGGAUUAGAUACCCGGGUAGUC
rnacentral:rRNA from 1 species